rnacentral:rRNA from 1 species
CUGGGCAUCUGACCAUGCAGUCGAACGGUGACACGGAGCUUGCUCUGUGGGAUCAGUGGCGAACGGGGAGUAACACGUGAGCAACCUGCCCCUGACUCUGGGAUAAGCGCUGGAAACGGCGUCUAAUACUGGAUAUGUGACGUGACCGCAUGGUCUGCGUUUGGAAAGAUUUUUCGGUUGGGGAUGGGCUCGCGGCCUAUCAGCUUGUUGGUGAGGUAAUGGCUCACCAAGGCGUCGACGGGUAGCCGGCCUGAGAGGGUGACCGGCCACACUGGGACUGAGACACGGCCCAGACUCCUACGGGAGGCAGCAGUGGGGAAUAUUGCACAAUGGGCGAAAGCCUGAUGCAGCAACGCCGCGUGAGGGAUGACGGCCUUCGGGUUGUAAACCUCUUUUAGCAGGGAAGAAGCGAAAGUGACGGUACCUGCAGAAAAAGCGCCGGCUAACUACGUGCCAGCAGCCGCGGUAAUACGUAGGGCGCAAGCGUUAUCCGGAAUUAUUGGGCGUAAAGAGCUCGUAGGCGGUUUGUCGCGUCUGCUGUGAAAUCCCGAGGCUCAACCUCGGGCCUGCAGUGGGUACGGGCAGACUAGAGUGCGGUAGGGGAGAUUGGAAUUCCUGGUGUAGCGGUGGAAUGCGCAGAUAUCAGGAGGAACACCGAUGGCGAAGGCAGAUCUCUGGGCCGUAACUGACGCUGAGGAGCGAAAGGGUGGGGAGCAAACAGGCUUAGAUACCCUGGUAGUCCACCCCGUAAACGUUGGGAACUAGUUGUGGGGUCCAUUCCACGGAUUCCGUGACGCAGCUAACGCAUUAAGUUCCCCGCCUGGGGAGUACGGGCCGCAAGGCUAAAAACUCAAAGGAAUUGACGGGGAACCCGCACCAGGCGGCGGGAGCAUGCCGGAAUUAAAUUUCGAUGCCAACCGCGAAGAAACCCUUUACCCAAAGGGCCUUGACAUAUUACGAGAAACCGGGGCCCCAGAAAAAUGGUCCAACUCUUUUGGGACAACUCGGUUAAAACAGGUUGGUGGCAUGGUUUGUUCGUCCAGCUCGUUGUUCCGUGAGAAAUGGUUGGAUAAAGUUCCGGCAAACGAGCGGCAAACCCCCUCGGGUCUCUGUA